UAUUUACAGGGACAUAAGCAUAAUUG
rnacentral:piRNA from 1 species